UACGAAGGGGGCUAGCGUUGCUCGGAAUCACUGGGCGUAAAGCGCACGUAGGCGGCUUUUUAAGUCAGGGGUGAAAUCCUGGAGCUCAACUCCAGAACUGCCUUUGAUACUGAAGAUCUUGAGUUCGGGAGAGGUGAGUGGAACUGCGAGUGUAGAGGUGAAAUUCGUAGAUAUUCGCAAGAACACCAGUGGCGAAGGCGGCUCACUGGCCCGGAACUGACGCUGAGGUGCGAAAGCGUGGGGAGCAAACAGG
rnacentral:rRNA from 1 species